GACGAACGCUGGCGGCGUGCUUAACACAUGCAAGUCGAACGAUGAAGAAGAGAAACGCGAACUUCGGUUCAACUUUCACUUCGGAUUAGUGGCAGACGGGUGAGUAACGCGUGAGCAACCUACCUCCUACAAAGGGAUAGCCUCGGGAAACCGUGAUUAAUACCAUAUGACACAUUCAUAAGGCAUCUUAAGAAUGUUAAAGCUACGGCGGUAAGAGAUGGGCCCGCGUCCCAUUAGCUAGUUGGUGAGGUAACGGCCCACCAAGGCGACGAUGGGUAACCGGCCUGAGAGGGUGAACGGUCACAUUGGAACUGAGACACGGUCCAAACUCCUACGGGAGGCAGCAGUGGGGAAUAUUGCACAAUGGAGGGAACUCUGAUGCAGCGACGCCGCGUGAGCGAUGAAGGAAUUCGUUUCGUAAAGCUCUGUUCUAUGGGAAGAAAAGGACUGUACCAUAGGAGAAAGCCCCGGCUAAAUACGUG
rnacentral:rRNA from 1 species